GUCCACGCCGUAAACGAUGAGUGCUAGGUGCUGUGGGUAUUGACCCCCGCGGUGCCGCAGCCAACGCGUUAAGCACUCCGCCUGGGGAGUACGGCCGCAAGGCUAAAACUCAAAGGAAUUGACGGGGGCCCCGCACAAGCGGUGGAGCAUGUGGUUCAAUUCGACGCAACGCGCAGAACCUUACCUGGGUUAAAUCCACCAGAAUCUUGUAGAGAUACAGGGGUGCCCUUCGGGGAACUGGUGAGAAGGUGCUGCAUGGCUGUCGU
rnacentral:rRNA from 1 species